rnacentral:lncRNA from 1 species
UGAAUUGGGAUGAGGGGCCAAGACAAAGCAGAAAUCUGCUGCAGAGAGCAGGAAAGAUAAAGGAUAUUCUGCAGCAGGAUCUGGGCAAGUGGCACUCAUCCAUAUCCUUUGCAUUGCAAAGAGAGGAGCUACUUCCUUCCUUUUUAUUUUCCAGUUUAUUGGUGGCUCUUAGAACCUCUGAGAACUAACUGAUUUUGACCUCUUAACAGUUGCCUUUCAACUACCAUUCAUCCACUGCAAGCCUACUGUGUAACAGGCCCUUUUUAGCCAUUUCAGAUAUUAUUGUCUCUUGCCCAGCUUCAAGUGACUCUCUUAGGGAGGGAUUAGCCUCACCUCACUAGUAUGGAAAUGGAGACUUGGAGUAAUCAAGUGACUUGCUCUGAAUUACACAGCUGGGAAGUGGUGAAGCUGGAAUUCAACUCAAGUUAUGUCUAGAUCUAAAACUCAUGCUCUUUUCUAUGCUCAAAGCUGCAUUUCAAAAUUGAACUUUAGCAUGGAGUCUAUGAUGACUGGCUCAUGUCUCUCCACCCAGCACCUAGCCCAAGGCCAAGCACAGAGAAGGCUCACAGUGGACACUUUUGGAAUGAGUAGAUUUUGUAUGGAAUGGUCGAGCACACUGAACUACCUGGAGUAAAGGGGCAUCAUGUCUGAAACUGAUGCUUAAGUGGCUCAGAAAAAAAAUUCUGGGAGCUAGAGGGAGAGAGAGACAGAGGAGUGUGGUAAAAAGUUAUCAUUUGGGGGGUCUGCGUAAAAGGUAUAUGAGGAUUCUUUGUACGGAUUUUGCAACUUUUCUCCCAGUCUGAAAUUAUGUCAAAAUAUAAAAUUAAAAGGCAAAAUUAAAAGAAUGAGUGAGAGUUUACUAGGUAGAGAAGCAGAAGGAUCUUCUGGUAAAGGAACAGGAUAAGCAAAAGCAUCACAAGUGUGCGAGUCUUCUGUGUUGACAA